UACGGAGGGUGCAAGCGUUGUUCGGAUUUACUGGGCGGAAAGCGUGUCUAGGUGGAUCUGUAAGUCAGGUGUGAAAUCCCCCGGCCUAACCGGGGAGGGUCGCUUGAAACUGCAGGUCUUGAGUCUCAGAGAGGUGGGUGGAAUUCCCAGUGUAGAGGUGAAAUUCGUAGAUAUUGGGAGGAACAUCGGAGGCGAAAGCGGCUCACUAUCUGAGCACUGACACUCAAGCACGAAAGCGUGGGUAGCAAACAGU
rnacentral:rRNA from 1 species